UACGUAGGGGGCAAGCGUUGUCCGGAUUUAUUGGGCGUAAAGAGCGUGUAGGCGGCUUGGCAAGUCCGCUGUGAAAACUUGAGGCUUAACCUCGAGACGUCGGUGGAAACUGCCUGGCUAGAGUCCGGAAGAGGAGAGUGGAAUUCCUGGUGUAGCGGUGAAAUGCGCAGAUAUCAGGAAGAACACCCGUGGCUAAGGCGGCUCUCUAGUACGGUACUGACGCUGAGACGCGAAAGCGUGGGGAGCGAAACAGG
rnacentral:rRNA from 1 species